GCCGCGUUGGCGCACUGGGAGCGCACCUCACUUGUAUGCCAUCGGUAGAAUGGAUUAAUUAAUCAGGCAGUGAGAAGGAUACCUGUUCAAUUCGGGUACGUGGUA
rnacentral:tRNA from 1 species